AUCGAAGACUUCAGCUUCUUCAUAAGUUCCCACACGAAUUGCUUGAUUCACUUGCGAAAAGCGAUUGGGUUUAGACCCGAGAGUUAGACGAUUGGGUCUGUAGCUCAGUUGGUUAGAGCGCACCCCUGAUAAGGGUGAGGUCGGCAGUUCGAAUCUGCCCAGACCCACCAAUUGUCAAGGGAUGUGGCCAAGUCCGUAGAUGGGGCCAUAGCUCAGCUGGGAGAGCGCCUGCUUUGCACGCAGGAGGUCAGGAGUUCGAUCCUCCUUGGCUCCACCAUUAACUCGAGAUCGCUGAAAGCUCAGAACUGAGCAUCCACCAACGCAGGUUGGGAUGUUGAGUUCUGGUCUUUGCGCCAGAACUGUUCUUUAAAAAUUUGGGUAUGUGAUAGAAGUGACUUGUUGAAUGUUUCACUGCAUUCAGCAAAUCAAGGCAAAAUUUGCGAGUUCAAGCGCGAAUUUUCGGCGAAUGUCGUCUUCACGUUACGAAUCUAUAACCAGAUUGCUUGGGGUUAUAU
rnacentral:tRNA from 1 species